AGCAAAGUUACAGUCUGAUGUGAAUUAGAAAAUCAUCCACCUUCUCUAAGAUGAACCCAAGACCUCAGGUUCUAUCCCAGCAUCCUUAUCGCAGCAUGGGCUGUGACCUAUACAACUGUCUUAUCACAUCACUUAGUAUUUGGUGUCUCUGAUCCCAGGUAUUUCUUUUUUCCUUUAGCUCUCCAGUCUACAUGCUCUUGAAUAUAGCUGGCCUUUUUCUUCAGUAAUUCCUUCUUGGAAAGGAAGAUUAGUGAUUCAGUAAAACCCAAUCUUCUGACCCAUCCAAGGAAGGAGGCCUAGGACUUCAUCUCUAUGCUGACAUUGUCUAAAGGUGAGAGAGAUGAUUCCAGAGGAGCCACUGCCUGCAGACAGAGACAACGGGAGCCCAUCUUUAUAUUGCUUGACCAUUGGUACACAUUCCUAGGGCGAGAGUUGCUUUGAAAAGUUUCCAGAUUUCCUCAGAUGAAAAUCUGCAAAUAUUCCAGCUUCUUCAGACAUUCCCUAUGGGUACUAUAAAGGCAGAGUCCACGAAGAGGAUGAAGAGGUGUGGCAGAAGUGUGAACAGCAAUUUUGACAACUGGCCACUUUAGAUCGGAAUCCCGAGUAAAAGCAUGAAACUGGGGCAAAUAGAGAAAUGACUGGGAGAAGAAAGUCCUUGGAACGUUUCAACACUGGAGAGAAUUGGGCUUCUCUUCCACCCACACCUCUUGUGUCAUAGAAUGUUAGAGUGAUAAGAGGCCGUCAUGAUGGCCAUGCUCACCUCUCUCAUUUCACCAAGAAACAACCAAGAUCAGCAGGGGAGAGCUGUCUUCACGCCACACAACCAGCAUGUAGUGGAGUACAGAGUAGUAGCUACAUCCCAAGACUCUGGGUUUGCUAUACUUACCACCAUAGGUUACAGCCUAGUUCCAUUUCACAAGUGUAGCCCAAGGGCUGGUAAACUUGGCCCAUGGGCCAAAUCC